rnacentral:antisense_RNA from 1 species
UGGCCUCCUGAGAAUCCGACAAGACGUAAAUAGCCAAGAAUAUCUGUGGAACUUAAUCACUGAGUUACAGUAUUUAUCACUGCAAGUGUGUUGUUCAUUGACACUAUAAAGCCAUGUGGAAUUAAGCAGCCUUGAAACACAAAAUGGAGAAAGGCUGAGAGCUGAGAAUUGUUGCCUUCAGGAAAAUACAAUCAAUGUCAAGCAAACAACCACCCCAAAAUGGAAUGUCAGCCAUUAACCUCACAGUAGGUGAUGAAAAGAUAUUACUUUUUCUCCCCUAUACUACCCAAGCCAGCCACCUCAAGAAAGAACAGUUCAUGUGCAGGUGACCAUGUAGUUCAAGUCAUCAUUAAAUCCAAAGCUGAGCAGCCAUGAUGCUAUUGGUGGAAUUGCCCUUGACCAAGAGAAAUCCAUCUUGAUUGUCUCAAUAAUCGGCUCAAGGGCCAUUGAUGAUGAGGUCCUAAAUUUAAUUCCUAAUAAAACCCCUAAAGUUUUAGAGGCAAAAUGAGAAAGCAUAGCUCACAAAUGCCUUGUGACCAAUGACUUGCCUAUUCAACGUGAAAAAGAUGAGGAUGAAGACCUUUAUUAUGAUCCACUUCCAAGUAAUGAACACACUGGAGAAAGUCAGACAGUCAAAACAAUGUCCCAGACUCCGUGAAGUUCCUGGGUAGAGAAGGAGACAGACAUAUACCAUACCUAAUAAUUGGAUGUCCGAGAGAAUGAGAGAAUGGCAGAAAGAACUUUAGAGCAUGGGUAUGAUGGCUAGAGCUUGAGCAGCCAUUGUGGACAUCAGAUGAACUUGAAAGUGAAAACUAUGAGCUGAAUACGACAAAGCAAACAGAUAGAAAACUGGAUUCAUUAUGACAUUGCAAAGCUGCCAGACCAGCUCUAGUCUGCUUCCCCCUAAUCUUCCUUACUAAGAGAGAGAAAUAAACUUCCAUCUUC